AGUGAACGCUGGCGGUAGGCCUAACACAUGCAAGUCGAACGGCAGCACAGUAAGAGCUUGCUCUUACGGGUGGCGAGUGGCGGACGGGUGAGGAAUACAUCGGAAUCUACUUUUUCGUGGGGGAUAACGUAGGGAAACUUACGCUAAUACCGCAUACGACCUACGGGUGAAAGCAUGGGAUCUUCGGACCUUGCGCGAUUGAAUUAGCCGAUGUCGGAUUAGCUAGUUGGCGGGGUAAAGGCCCACCAAGGCGACGAUCCGUAGCUGGUCUGAGAGGAUGAUCAGACAAACUGGAACUGAGACACGGUACAGACGCCUACGGGAGGCAGCAGUGGGGAAUAUUGGACAAUGGGCGCAAGCCUGAUCCAGCAAUACCGCGUGGGUGAAGAAGGACUUCGGGUUGUAAAGCCCUUUUGUUGGGAAAGAAAAGCAGCAGGUUAAUACCCCGCUGUUCUGACGGUACCCAAAGAAUAAGCACCGGCUAACUUCGUG
rnacentral:rRNA from 1 species